rnacentral:rRNA from 1 species
GAAUUCACUAGUGAUUCAGGCCUAACACAUGCAAGUCGAGCGGUAGAGAGAAGCUUGCUUCUCUUGAGAGCGGCGGACGGGUGAGUAAUGCCUAGGAAUCUGCCUGGUAGUGGGGGAUAACGUUCGGAAACGGACGCUAAUACCGCAUACGUCCUACGGGAGAAAGCAGGGGACCUUCGGGCCUUGCGCUAUCAGAUGAGCCUAGGUCGGAUUAGCUAGUUGGUGAGGUAAUGGCUCACCAAGGCUACGAUCCGUAACUGGUCUGAGAGGAUGAUCAGUCACACUGGAACUGAGACACGGUCCAGACUCCUACGGGAGGCAGCAGUGGGGAAUAUUGGACAAUGGGCGAAAGCCUGAUCCAGCAAGGCCGCGUGUGUGAAGAAGGUCUUCGGAUUGUAAAGCUAUGGAAGUUGGGAGGAAGGGCAUUAACCUAAUACGUUAGUGUUUGACGUACCGACAGA